UCUGUCCGAAGCCCGCUCCGAUGCCCUAGGCUGACGCCGCGGGCACGAGGAAGCCGGUGAGAUUCCGGCACAGUCGCGCUACUGUGACAUCGCUUCCGAGCGGUGGAGUCAGACCCGAAGGUCCGCUUCCAUCCA
rnacentral:sRNA from 18 species